rnacentral:rRNA from 1 species
UCUCCGUUGGUGAACCAGCGGAGGGAUCAUUACCGAGUUAUACAACUCAUCAACCCUGUGAACAUACCUAAAACGUUGCUUCGGCGGGAACAGACGGCCCCGUAACACGGGCCGCCCCCGCCAGAGGACCCCCUAACUCUGUUUCUAUUAUGUUUCUUCUGAGUAAAACAAGCAAAUAAAUUAAAACUUUCAACAACGGAUCUCUUGGCUCUGGCAUCGAUGAAGAACGCAGCGAAAUGCGAUAAGUAAUGUGAAUUGCAGAAUUCAGUGAAUCAUCGAAUCUUUGAACGCACAUUGCGCCCGCCAGUAUUCUGGCGGGCAUGCCUGUUCGAGCGUCAUUACAACCCUCAGGCCCCCGGGCCUGGCGUUGGGGAUCGGCGAGGCGCCCCCUGCGGGCACACGCCGUCCCCCAAAUACAGUGGCGGUCCCGCCGCAGCUUCCAUUGCGUAGUAGCUAACACCUCGCAACUGGAGAGCGGCGCGGCCACGCCGUAAAACACCCAACUUCUGAAUGUUGACCUCGAAUCAGGUAGGAAUACCCGCUGAACUUAA